GGUGAAGUAUGUUUUGGCAAACUUUUAUAUACAUCUUGAAUGCAGUGGUAGAAAUAUCUGGAAGAGAGACAACCAAACUGCCAAGGAGAUCAACAACAAGCAAGAAAGUAGAAAAGAAAACCAAGGUUCAAUUAAGAUGGAUUACCCUUGGGUUUCUCAAAGUUUGCCACCCACAUCUGAAAUUGUCAAAAUAAGAAAUUAAGGUAUGUUACAAUUUACAAAAUACACAAAAAGAAAAAAACAGUAUCUUGUAUUACAAGCAAUGUUUUAAAAACGGCCAGAACUGAUCAGUUCAUCCAGAAACUAGUCAUUUUACAGUUGGUUUGAUCUCAGUUGUGCCAGAGCCUGGUUGAACUAAAGUAAAUAGGUUGAACUACGGUUGGUUCAACUGGUUGAUAUUUAUUCUCUAUUUUAAUAUUUUUUUUAACUUUUUGUUUUUUGUCAUCCAUUCAACCAAUCAUGGUUGAACCAUAACCUAGAGGUCUCCCUAAUUUUAUUUUUGAUCCGAUUUUUAAAACAUUGAUUACAAGCAGUUGAUUUUCAGCAAGAAACAUUAAUUAUCAAUUACAUAUGUGAACACCGAUGAAUUGGCAUCGUGAGUCGUGAAA